GGGCACUAGGGACCACGAUGUCCCAUCAGCCCUGUCAGGUGUGGAACGGAUCCCCGCCCCCAUUGCCAACCCAGGAUUCACUUUCAGCAGGGCCUGAACCUGCCAGCAGCUGCCUGGAUGUCGGUAGCCAAGUGCAUUUACAACCCCCAAGAACCAAUCCUUCAGGCUGGGACUCCAGUUGAGUUGGUGAGAUCGUGUUAAACUGUCGAUGGCUGGAAAUUGGCCAUGGGAAUUGGACCACAGAAAUGGACACCACAGAAAUUGGAAAACACCACAAAAUGACAGCAUCCCCAGCCUGUUAAACAUUUACCAGCACAUCACUGUCGUCAGUCUUCUUCAUUUUCAACAUCCCAACUGCCAUCAGAGAGAGGCCAAUAGAGUCCGAUAUAGGACGAUAAUAUAGCAAUACACAUGUCAUACACAAAUAAAGAAUUACAAAUGAGGGUAAACCUAAAACACAAGCGAACUUGAUCAUAACUGGUAGAAAUGACAUGUGAACACUGAUAAGAAUUGGAAGAGAUAAGAGAAUCUUGUAAAUAAUGAAGAACAGAUUCAAUGUGGUUCGAUGCUGCUGCUAUUUGGCAAGUUUAACUUUAUUUCCUCAAAUUAAAGAUCCAUGGAUAAAGGAAUAAAAAAAAAAUAGGGGCUAUGGUGGUAGGGAUGGGCCUGGGAUUGGGAUAGGUCCCAGCUAUGGGGCUAGGAGAGGAAUAAAGCAGACAUCAAAGCUGGAAA